rnacentral:rRNA from 1 species
UACGUAGGGGGCAAGCGUUGUCCGGAAUCAUUGGGCGUAAAGAGCGCGUAGGCGGUCCGAUAAGUCGGUUGUGAAAACUGGGGGCUCAACCCUCAGAGGCCGACCGAUACUGUCGGGCUAGAGUCCGGAAGAGGCGAGUGGAAUUCCUGGUGUAGCGGUGAAAUGCGCAGAUAUCAGGAGGAACACCAAUGGCGAAGGCAGCUCGCUGGGACGGUACUGACGCUGAUGCGCGAAAGCCAGGGGAGCGAACGGG